AUUUGAUGAUGAGGGCAUUGAAUGCACAGUUGCUCAAAACUUUCCCAAUACUCAGAAAGUGUCUCUCCAUGUGAUUGUCGAAUCCCACAUAUUUCUUUCCUUAUGUU
rfam:Populus trichocarpa isolate Nisqually-1 chromosome 15, whole genome shotgun sequence.